AGAAUCAAUGCUGGCGGCGUGCCUAACACAUGCAAGUCGAACGAGAAAGUGGAGCAAUCCACGAGUAAAGUGGCGCACGGGUGAGUAACACGUGACUAACCUACCCUUGAGUGGGGAAUAACUGAGGGAAACCUUAGCUAAUACCGCAUAACACCUACGGGUCAAAGGAGCAAUUCGCUUAAGGAGGGGUCGCGGCAGAUUAGUUAGUUGGCGGGGUAAUGGCCCACCAAGACGGUGAUCUGUA
rnacentral:rRNA from 1 species